rnacentral:rRNA from 1 species
AGAGUUUGAUCAUGGCUCAGAUUGAACGCUGGCGGCAGGCUUAACACAUGCAAGUCGAACGGUAACAGAAGAGCUUGCUCUUGCUGACGAGUGGCGGACGGGUGAGUAAUGUAUGGGGAUCUGCCGAAUGGAGGGGGACAACAGUUGGAAACGACUGCUAAUACCGCAUAAUGUCGCGAGACCAAAGCGUGGGACUUUCGGGCCACGUACCAUUUGAUGAACCCAUAUGGGAUUAGCUAGUAGGUGGGGUAAUGGCUCACCUAGGCGACGAUCUCUAGCUGGUCUGAGAGGAUGACCAGCCACACUGGAACUGAGACACGGUCCAGACUCCUACGGGAGGCAGCAGUGGGGAAUAUUGCACAAUGGGGGAAACCCUGAUGCAGCCAUGCCGCGUGUAUGAAGAAGGCCUUAGGGUUGUAAAGUACUUUCGGUGAUGAGGAAGGUAACAAUUCUAACAGGAUUGUUAAUUGACGUUAAUUACAGAAGAAGCACCGGCUAACUCCGUGCCAGCAGCCGCGGUAAUACGGAGGGUGCGAGCGUUAAUCGGAAUGACUGGGCGUAAAGGGCAUGUAGGCGGAUGAUUAAGUUAGGUGUGAAAGCCCCGAGCUCAACUUGGGAAUUGCACUUAAAACUGGUCGUCUGGAGUAUUGUAGAGGAAGGUAGAAUUCCACGUGUAGCGGUGAAAUGCGUAGAGAUGUGGAGGAAUACCGGUGGCGAAGGCGGCCUUCUGGACAGAUACUGACGCUGAGAUGCGAAAGCGUGGGGAGCAAACAGGAUUAGAUACCCUGGUAGUCCACGCUGUAAACGAUGUCGAUUUGGAGUUUGGAGGCAUGACCUCUGGGCUCCGGAGCUAACGCAUUAAAUCGACCGCCUGGGGAGUACGGCCGCAAGGUUAAAACUCAAAUGAAUUGACGGGGGCCCGCACAAGCGGUGGAGCAUGUGGUUUAAUUCGAUGCAACGCGAAGAACCUUACCUGGUCUUGACAUCCAUAGAAUCUUUCAGAGAUGCGAGAGUGCCUUCGGGAACUCUGAGACAGGUGCUGCAUGGCUGUCGUCAGCUCGUGUUGUGAAAUGUUGGGUUAAGUCCCGCAACGAGCGCAACCCNNNNNNNNNGUGAAAUGUUGGGUUAAGUCCCGCAACGAGCGCAACCCCUAUCCUUUGUUGCCAGCACGUAAUGGUGGGAACUCAAAGGAGACUGCCGUUGAUAAAGCGGAGGAAGGUGGGGAUGACGUCAAGUCAUCAUGGCCCUUACGACCAGGGCUACACACGUGCUACAAUGGCGUAUACAAAGGGAUGCGAAGGUGCGAACUGGAGCGGACCUCAUAAAGUACGUCGUAGUCCGGAUUGGAGUCUGCAACUCGACUCCAUGAAGUCGGAAUCGCUAGUAAUCGUGAAUCAGAAUGUCACGGUGAAUACGUUCCCGGGCCUUGUACACACCGCCCGUCACACCAUGGGAGUGGGUUGCACCAGAAGUAGAUAGCUUAACCGCAAGGGGGGCGUUUACCACGGUGUGAUUCAUGACUGGGGUGAAGUCGUAACAAGGUAACCGUAGGGGAACCUGCGGUUG